rnacentral:lncRNA from 1 species
AUUAAGGAGUGCUUAUUAUUGCAGCCUUGAAUGAACAACUGAUGAUAUUGGGUGAAAAGUCCUUAAUACAGAAAAAAAUCACAGCUAUUCUAUACUACAAACACCUCUACGCAAAUAAACUAGAAAAUCUAGAAGAAAUGGAUACAUUCCUCGACACAUACACUCUCCCAAGACUAAACCAGGAAGAAGUUGAAUCUCUGAAUAGACCAAUAACAGGUUCUGAAAUUG